rnacentral:tRNA from 1 species
GUCCGUGUGGAGUAGCGGUUAUCUCGUCAGGUUCUCAACCUGAAGAUCGUGGGUUCGAUCCCCACCACGGACA